rnacentral:lncRNA from 1 species
ACUUGUAGCAAGAUCCACAACAGUGAUUGGACGAGCCAAUGCAUCUGCCUUGAUCCUACUCACCUCCUCUUUCGGGAGCAGCCCACAUUUCUCUCAGCGAAGAGGACUAAGCAGCCAACGACAUUUAUGGUACUCAGCAGGGGAGCUCAACCAGCAUUCCAGCAGGCAGAAGGCCUGCAUACCCAACAUUCCAGCAACCCAUGAGGCCCACAAUCUCCUCAUUUCUCUCAAUCGCCAGC